UGAUCCUGGCUCAGGAUGAACGCUGGCGGCGUGCCUAAUACAUGCAAGUCGAGCGAACAGAUAAGGAGCUUGCUCCUUUGACGUUAGCGGCGGACGGGUGAGUAACACGUGGGUAACCUACCUAUAAGACUGGAAUAACUCCGGGAAACCGGGGCUAAUGCCGGAUAACAUGUUGAACCGCAUGGUUCUACAGUGAAAGACGGUCUUGCUGUCACUUAUAGAUGGACCCGCGCCGUAUUAGCUAGUUGGUGGGGUAACGGCCUACCAAGGCGACGAUACGUAGCCGACCUGAGAGGGUGAUCGGCCACACUGGAACUGAGACACGGUCCAGACUCCUACGGGAGGCAGCAGUAGGGAAUCUUCCGCAAUGGGCGAAAGCCUGACGGAGCAACGCCGCGUGAGUGAUGAAGGUCUUCGGAUCGUAAAGCUCUGUUGUUAGGGAAGAACAAAUGUGUAAGUAACUGUGCACAUCUUGACGGUACCUAACCAGAAAGCCACGGCUAACUACGUGCCAGCAGCCGCGGUAAUACGUAGGUGGCAAGCGUUAUCCGGAAUUAUUGGGCGUAAAGCGCGCGUAGGCGGUUUUUUAAGUCUGAUGUGAAAGCCCACGGCUCAACCGUGGAGGGUCAUUGGAAACUGGAAAACUUGAGUGCAGAAGAGGAAAGUGGAAUUCCAUGUGUAGCGGUGAAAUGCGCAGAGAUAUGGAGGAACACCAGUGGCGAAGGCGGCUUUCUGGUCUGCAACUGACGCUGAUGUGCGAAAGCGUGGGGAUCAAACAGGAUUAGAUACCCUGGUAGUCCACGCCGUAAACGAUGAGUGCUAAGUGUUAGGGGGUUUCCGCCCCUUAGUGCUGCAGCUAACGCAUUAAGCACUCCGCCUGGGGAGUACGGUCGCAAGACUGAAACUCAAAGGAAUUGACGGGGACCCGCACAAGCGGUGGAGCAUGUGGUUUAAUUCGAAGCAACGCGAAGAACCUUACCAAAUCUUGACAUCCUUUGACCGCUCUAGAGAUAGAGUUUUCCUCUUCGGAGGACAAAGUGACAGGUGGUGCAUGGUUGUCGUCAGCUCGUGUCGUGAGAUGUUGGGUUAAGUCC
rnacentral:rRNA from 1 species